UCAGGAAAAGUAAAGGUCCUGCCAAUUCCAGAAGGACAAAGGGUUUCAGCCACUAACAAGGGAACAAAAUGAUCUCAUUGCCCCUUUCCCACUGAGACUGUAAGUGGGAUCCUUCUCAAAUUCAGAGCGCUCACUUACAGGCACAGUCACUGUUUCCACACAAUGGGACCCAUGUGGAAGGACAGCCAAACCAGGAAACAGAUUCCAGAGGCGUGGGCCAGGACUGAACAUGGACUCUCCAAUGACAGGCAUGCAUCUCUGGGGCACUAGACUGUGCUCAACUGUAAUUCCUUGUGACUCCCGCAUGCCUCCAAGAACACAGGACACAGCUUCCGGAUAAGUAGCAUUGCUAAAGCAACUCCGUUUGUAAAUUCACUCUGAGGCCGUGGAUUUCUGGAGACAGAUUAAUCUACACACUUCUUCUAAUUCACUGGGUGUUCAUUCCUUGGUGUCUGCCAGGCACCCGCCUUAGAGCUCUCCAGAAAACCAGACGGCAUCGGGAUGUGUGUCCCGUCUGAAGCCUUUGGCGUUAAUUUCUAAAGCACGGUCGUGAACAUCAACAUCAAAACGCAGCUCCUGUGUAAUAUUAAACGCU